ensembl:lncRNA
GGGAUCUGGCUUCCAUCAGUCACAUGAUGACCAUUAGCCAAUGAUCGUCCUUGACGGCAGAGCGGGCUGGUUACGAGCCGGGAACAAGCUCUCAAAGAGCAUGUGCAUGUUUUGCCCAUUGUUUUGCCCAUUGAAGCCAAAACGUCUCUAUCGCCCCCUGGUGCCUGGCUGCAGUAUAGGUCAUAACCCCCCCCCCCCCCCCCCCCCCCCUCCACGUUAGCAGAUGGGACUGGGGUCAGACUAAAAUAAAUUUAUUCUCCUCAGAUUUUUUUUUUCAAAGAUUCUUUCUUUUGUUUUCAAUAGUUCUCAUCACGCUGAUUUAUGUUCAAGGGGUCUCCUUUCCCAUAAGUGUGAUUCUAAUUCCUAGAGUGGUGAUGUUAAAUUGUUGUGAAACGUCAUCAUAACAGCUUUGACUGGCAGCUGCAGUCACGGAGAAACUUGCGUAUCUCUGUUCGGGAAUAGCAGAUAGAGCGUAGGCUCUGAGAGGAGUGCCAGCGUUUACGCUACGAAAACACGACCGAGUGUUUUAACCUGACAGCCUGAGGUAGUGAGGCCUCGUGAGGCGUUUCAGCACAUUCCCAAAACUGUAUCUGUUAUAUUCUCUCUUAUAACUUAACUGGAGCUGCCUUCAGAUUCAGACCUCAGCAACACCCAGUGACAGCAGACAGAUCAUCCAACAUCAGAAUCAGAAUCAGAAAGGGGUUUAUUUCCAAAUGUUGAGCAGGUUUACAACAUUAGGAAAUUGCUGCGGUGCUUCAGUGCAAACAUAGUGUCAUAAAUAGCACUUAAAUAGACAUGAAAAAACAUGUUCACAUGUUAACUGCAAAAUGAACCGAUGACAACAGUACAAAGGUCAAAGUACCACACGUGCUGUAGUGAAAGCUGCAGCUGUUUUUGUCAUGGUCCUGGGUCGUGUGACCCAGUGUUUUGUGUUUAGUCUAUUUUGAUGUUUAUUGAUUGUUUAGGUUCAUUAAGGUAGUCCAGCCAUUUGUAUAUAUCACCCUUGCAUUACGUCUCCCUUGCCCUUCGUGUGUUUAUGUCUGUGCGUCUUGUACUGUCAAGUUCAUGCUGUCAGUAUUGUCACCUCCCCCUGUACUACAUCUCCCCGGUUCAUGUCUCAUGUUUCCUGUUUUACUUUGAAGGCCUGCAUUCACUGUCAGUGUAUUCAGUUUCACUCCUCCUGUCCUGUCGUUAAGUUCAUGUGUGUCAGCUGCGUUCCCAUGUGUGGCCACUUCCCCUGAUCAUCCCUCAUGUGUAUUUAGUCUCUGUGUUUCUUACAGUCUGUGUCGCGUCGUCUGUGUUCCCACCCCCCGUGUUUCCAUGCCCGGUCUGUUGUAUUCUAAGUCAUAGCCUUACCUUAGUUCAUUCCCAGUUUAGGUUUCUGUUUAGUUAUUGCUUUUGUGCUGCCCUUAUUCUUGUUUGUUUCUCUUGUGUUACCAGCCACAAUAAAAGGCUCGCCUUCUGUUAAAGCUCACUCCCGUCUGCUCACUUGUGUACGCACCUGGGUCCAUUACACGCAUUCUCCACUCGGUUCGUCACAGCGGACCGUGACAGUUUUAUUGAUAAAGUUCCAUCCAUCCAUCUUCAUCUGCUUUAUCCGAGGCCGGGUCGUGGGGGCAGCAGCCUAAGCAGAGAAGCCCAGACCUCCCUCUCCCCAGCCACCUCCUCCAGCUUAUCCGGGGGAACACCAAGGCGUUCCCAGGCCAGCCGAGAGAUAUAAUCUCUCCAGCGUGUCCUGGGUCUGCCCCGGGGCCUCCUCCCGGUGGGACAUGCCUGGAACACCUCAUCCAGGAGGCACCCAGGGGGCAUCCUGC